UGGCGGUGCUUUAAACCAACCUAGAGGAGCCUGUCCUAUAAUCGAUACCCCACGUUUAACCUUACCCACCCUAGCCAACCAGCCUAUAUACCGCCGUCGUCAGCCUACCUUAUGAAAGAAACAAAGUAGGCAAAAUAGUCAAUAACUAACACGUCAGGUCAAGGUGUAGCAAAUGGGUGGGCAGAGAUGGGCUACAUUUUCUAACAAGAACACACGAACAACACACUGAAACCCGUGUUUAAAGGUGGAUUUAGUAGUAAAGUAGAAAAGAAAAGCUAUCUUGAAAUCUGCUCUGAAGCGCGC
rnacentral:rRNA from 1 species